rnacentral:lncRNA from 1 species
GGCACCCCAGGCAGUUUAGAGACUAUUUAUCACCAUAAUAAUAACACAUUCUCAUGAAUCCUUUGAUCCUCUGGCAGUUAAGAUCGAAUCCCGAGAUUAGGCAUAAUCUGUGGCCACAGAGACCCAACAGUCAUUGUCAGUUCAAGGUUAAUGAUUCAGAUUCUAAUAAACUACGCAGAAGAGGUUUGGUCUCCGCCUGUGUCACAACCACAGGCUUCACUCUAGGCUACAGUAAAGGGGGAAAAGAUCAAAUACGCAUUUCCACUUGAAAACUGACAGCUGUUCUGUUUUCCACCUGAGACAAGGCCAAAGCGGCUAACCCAGUUCCACAGCGCUCUGGCCCCACCCUGCGUGGGCCUAAUGCAGAACGGCUG